rnacentral:rRNA from 1 species
CCUACGGGAGGCUGCAGUGGGGAAUAUUGCACAAUGGGCGCAAGCCUGAUGCAGCCAUGCCGCGUGUGUGAAGAAGGCCUUCGGGUUGUAAAGCACUUUCAGCGGGGAGGAAGGCGGUGAGGUUAAUAACCUCAUCGAUUGACGUUACCCGCAGAAGAAGCACCGGCUAACUCCGUGCCAGCAGCCGCGGUAAUACGGAGGGUGCAAGCGUUAAUCGGAAUUACUGGGCGUAAAGCGCACGCAGGCGGUCUGUCAAGUCGGAUGUGAAAUCCCCGGGCGCAACCGGGGAACUGCAUUCGAAACUGGCAGGCUAGAGUCUUGUAGAGGGGGGUAGAAUUCCAGGUGUAGCGGUGAAAUGCGUAGAGAUCUGGAGGAAUACCGGUGGCGAAGGCGGCCCCCUGGACAAAGACUGACGCUCAGGUGCGAAAGCGUGGGGAGCAAACAGGAUUAGAUACCCGAGUAGUC